AUUGAACGCUGGCGGCAGGCCUAACACAUGCAAGUCGAGCGGAUGAAGGGAGCUUGCUCCUGGACUCAGCGGCGGACGGGUGAGUAAUGCCUAGGAAUCUGCCUGGUAGUGGGGGAUAACGUCCGGAAACGGGCGCUAAUACCGCAUACGUCCUGAGGGAGAGAGUGGGGGAUCUUCGGACCUCACGCUAUCAGAUGAGACUAGGUCGGAUUAGCUAGUUGGUGGGGUAAAGGCCUACCAAGGCGACGAUCCGUAACUGGUCUGAGAGGAUGAUCAGUCACACUGGAACUGAGACACGGUCCAGACUCCUACGGGAGGCAGCAGUGGGGAAUAUUGGACAAUGGGCGAAAGCCUGAUCCAGCCAUGCCGCGUGUGUGAAGAAGGUCUUCGGAUUGUAAAGCACUUUAAGUUGGGAGGAAGGGCAGUAAGUUAAUACCUUGCUGUUUUGACGUUACCAACAGAAUAAGCACCGGCUAACUUCGUG
rnacentral:rRNA from 1 species